UAGUUAUUUUCUUUAAACCUAAAGAAUUUGGCGGUGUUUUAGUCUAUUUAGAGGAAUUUGUCCUUUAAUCGAUAAUCCUCGUUUUAUCUUGCUUAUUUUUGUUAUCAGUAUGUAUACCGCCGUUAUAAGUUUAUUUUAUUAGAAAUUAAAUUUACUUAAUUCUUUAUUUUGAAUUAUUUCAGGUCAAGGUGCAGCCUAUAUUUAAGUUGUGAUGAAUUACAAUAUUAAUUGAAUAAACGGAUUUUAUUAUUAAAUUUAAAUUGAAGGUGGAUUUAAUUGUAAUUUAGAUUAUAAUGUUUUUUUGAUCUUAGCUCUAAAAUAAGUACACAUCGCCCGGUCGCUCUA
rnacentral:rRNA from 1 species